rnacentral:rRNA from 1 species
CCUACGUGGGGCAGCAGUGAGGAAUAUUGGUCAAUGGGCGCGAGCCUGAACCAGCCAAGUAGCGUGAAGGAUGACUGCCCUACGGGUUGUAAACUUCUUUUAUAAAGGAAUAAAGUGAGGCACGUGUGCCUUUUUGUAUGUACUUUAUGAAUAAGGAUCGGCUAACUCCGUUCCAGCAGCCGCGGUAAUACGGAGGAUCCGAGCGUUAUCCGGAUUUAUUGGGUUUAAAGGGCGCGUAGAUGGGUUUUUAAGUCAGUUGUGAAAGUUUGCGGCUCAACCGUAAAAUUGCAAUUGUUACUGGCAGUCUUGAGUACAGUUGAGGUAGGCGGAAUUCGUGGUGUAGCGGUGAAAUGCUUAGAUAUCACGAAGAACUCCGAUUGCGAAGGCAGCUUACUAAACUGCCACUGACAUUGAUGCUCGAAAGUGUGGGUAUCAAACAGGAUUAGAUACCCUGGUAGUC